AUCGAACGCUGGCGGCAGGCCUAACACAUGCAAGUCGAACGAGUGGCGGACGGGUGUGUAACGUCUGGGAAACUGCCCGAUGGAGGGGGAUAACUAUUGGAAACGGUAGCUAAUACCGCAUACUAUCGGAUGUGCCCAGAUGGGAUUAGCUAGUGGGUGGGGUAACGGCUCACCUGGGCGACGAUCCCUAGCUGGUCUGAGAGGAUGCUCAGCCCCACUGGACCUGAGGCGCGGUCCAGACUCCUCCGGCAGGCAGCAGUGGGAAAUAUUGCACAAUGUGCGCAAGCCUGAUGCAGCCAUGCCGCGUGUAUGAAGAAGGCCUUGGGGUUGUAAAGUACUUUCAGCGAGUAGGCGUUACUCGCAGAAGAAGCACCGGCUAACUCCGUGCCAGCAGCCGCGGUAAUAC
rnacentral:rRNA from 1 species